CGGCGAGCGAAAAGGGAAGAGCCCAGCGCCGAAUCCCCGGCCCCACGGCCGAGGGAAAUGUGGCGUUUAGGAGUGAGCGCGUCGGGAGCGGCGGAGGCGGCAAGUCCCCCUGACCGGGGCCUGUCCGUAGCGGGUGCGAGGCCCAUAGCCGCCCCCGCCUCCCCGAACGCGAUCUCCUGGGAGUCGGGUUGCUUGGGAGUGCAGCCCUAAUCGGGUGGUAAACUCCACCUAAGGCUAAAUACCGCCGUGAGACCGAUAGCAAACAAGUACCGUGAGGGAAAGUUGCAAAGAACUUUGAAGAGAGAGUUCAAGAGUACGUGAAACUGCUCAGAGGUAAACGGGUGGGCCCUCGAAAUCCUGUGGCGGGAGGAUUCAGCCUGGGCCGGCGGGCGGCAGUGACCGGGGGAAGAUCUGGCGAGCAGGGACUCCGCCGAGCGCGGGCCGUCCCCCGGGCCGCCCCCGUCCGUCCCAGACGCAUUUGACUCCCGCCCCGAGGACGCUGCGGCCGGUUCGGAAGCUGCAAGCGCGACGGCCUGGAGGCCGGGAGGUGGCAGGUGGCCGGUGGCUCSCCGAGUGCGGGUCGCCGGUUGUUAGCCGUCCCGGCGGUGGCACGUCUCCGGACCGAGGUUUUGGGGUUCCCCUCGGGGGACCCCGUCCGUCUCCGACCCCCGCGUCAGCGGGGCAGACCGCGGCCCGGGGCCCCGGACUGUUCGACCGGCGCACGAACACGGCGUGGCCGGGAGGGCCGGGGCCCCACGUCCGCCGCGACGGGCCCGCGGGGGAACGGAGGCCGGCAGCGAGUAGGUCGGUCACCCACCCGACCCGUCUUGAAACACGGACCAAGGAGUCUAACAUGUGCGCGAGUYGACGGGUNUUGGACAGGCCCGUGGGCGCAAUGAAAGCGAAGGGAUCCGCCGAGCGCGGCCCGAGCGGGGAUCCCGGGCCCACGAGGCCCGGGCGCACCCGCGGCCCGUCCUAUCCGGUCCGCCGGUUGGGCGGAGCUUGAGCGUACGCGUUGGGACCCGAAAGAUGGUGAGCUAUGCCCGGACAGGACGAGGCCAGAGGAAACUCUGGUGGAGGUCCGCAGC
rnacentral:rRNA from 1 species